rnacentral:rRNA from 1 species
GCUAUUUGACUCAACGCGGGAAAUCUUACCGGGUCCGGACACACUGAGGAUUGACAGGCAAUAUCUCAUGUUUAAUAACCGUUAUUAACUCGGUUAUUUAAUACAUCGAGUGUUAAAUAUGCUAGUCCUUUCAUGAUUAUGUGAUAGGUGGUGCAUGGCCGUUCUUAGUUCGUGGAGUGAUCUGUCUGCUUAAUUGCGUUUCACUAAGGGCCCAUAAAUUCAAGGUAGUUAGCUAUCUGUCGCUCUAUGGACCCCUUAA